rnacentral:tRNA from 1 species
UCCCUGGAGGACUAGUGGUUAGGCCACACCGCUCUCACCGCUGUGGCUCGGGUUCACUUCCAAACCAGGGAA